ACGGGCUUUCUUAGUAUCAUAAUACUCUGGCCACCUCUCUUUUGAUAUUCUCUUCUCUAAAACCUCAAUAGCUCGUGCGGCAAUCUCUGGUCUGCCCAUCUUUAUGCAUGCAACCGUAAGCUGCAAAAGAAAAGUCAUAUUAAUCUAAAUAUACUAGUUUUGUGCUUGCAAACAGUUUUGAUGUUUUACUCCAAUUUGUUGUUUUGUUAUCAGAUUAAGUAUUGUUUUAGUCGUCUAUACUCUUAGCCUUUUACCUGCCAAAUCAAAGUUGGCCAAGAACCGCCGUUGUGAUAUGACCAUGGCCUGAAAGCAACAAAACCAGAC
rnacentral:lncRNA from 1 species